rnacentral:rRNA from 1 species
GACAGAGGUGCCAAGCGUUAGGCGGAAUCACUGGGCUUAAAGCGUGUGUAGGCGGAAUUGUAAGUACCUUGUGAAAUCCCACAGCUCAACUGUGGAACUGCUCGGUAUACUGCUUUUCUUGAGCCACUUAGGGGCUGUCGGAACAAAUGGUGGAGCGGUGAAAUGCGUAGAUAUCAGGAGGAACACCGGUGGCGAAGGCGGAUCUCUGGGCCAUUACUGACGCUGAGGAGCGAAAGCGUGGGGAGCGAACAGG